rnacentral:rRNA from 1 species
UACGGGGGGGGCAAGCGUUGUUCGGAAUUACUGGGCGUAAAGGGCUCGUAGGCGGGCUUGCAGGCGCGUUGUGAAAGCCCCCGGCUCAACCGGGGAACUGCUUCGCGAACCGCAAGUCUUGAGUCAAGUAGGGGCGGUCGGAACGAUAGGUGGAGCGGUGAAAUGCGUAGAUAUCUAUCGGAACGCCAAAGGUGAAGACAGGCCGCUGGGCUUGUACUGACGCUGAGGAACGAAAGCGUGGGGAGCAAACGGG